GCCGGGCGUAAUGGCUCACGCCUGUAAUCCCAGCACUUUGGGAGGCUGAGGCGGGUGGAUCACCUGAGGCCAGGAGUUCAAGACCAGCCUGACCAACAUGGGGAAAUCCCGUCUCUA
ensembl:misc_RNA Metazoa_SRP Metazoan signal recognition particle RNA